UCAGGCUAUGACUUAGCAUUUUCCCUAUACUCUCUACAGUGUGUUUUGUUUGUUUAGUUGCCUGAAAACAUCUUUGUAGUUCAUGUUAAAGAACUGCUACUUCUAAACCAGAAUGCUGCAGAAACAUGGAAACUGUAUGCAAGCAUGUGUUUGGCUACGUAGCAGUCAGAGUAAAUGGGAAUAGUGAACUGAAAGCAUCGUGAGGAAAAAAAUGAAACACUCCUUGAAAUGUUAGAAGCUUAAAUACAGCCAUGUGGAUACUUGGAACAUAAGAAACCCGCGUGUGAGGUCAACUGAAACAAUCAAUAUGAUUACACCACCCAAUAUCCAUAAAUUAACAGAGGAAUAUGUGAUGGAAGAGAAAUCAUAUUUUUAAGAUUCUUUUUGUUUUAAUAACCUUAGGUAUUGAUUACAAAAGCAAGGAAUUCAAACCUGAUGCUCAAAAAACAAGCAAAUUCAUCUCUGCCCAUUUCAGAAGAACAAAGGGCCAGUCAAAGUAUGCUGCAACGACUACACAUGUAAGCAAAGGAAAUGCUUCUCCUUUUGUGAGGCGACUAAGGACCCCUGGCUUCCUCCUCUGUGGUUUUCACUCUGGAGGUGAUGGACCUCAAGGAUGAUUAUGUUGUUAUCAAAGUGCAUAUGAGGGAAAAAGUCCUAGAACACUAUUGAUGAUGGGUUGGAUGAAUGAGGCUUCAUGUAUAGAAAAUAAACACAGUCACUCUUUUUAGCAGUGCCCUUUGCCAGGACAAGAUGCAGUGGGCACAAACCGGAAAACAAGAAGUUCUGUCUAAACAGCAGGAAGCAGUUCUGCCUGAGCAAAUGACAUCGCACUGGCACAAGCUGACCAGAGAGGAAAUGGAGUCUCCCUCCUUGGAUAUUUUCAGAAGCUGCCUGGAUAUGAGACUGUGCAACAUGUUCUGAGUGUCCCUGAUUGAACAGGCGUUGAGUCAGAUGGACCUGGAGGUCCCCUGCCGAUCUCUGUAACCUUAUUUUUGCAUGUUUAGCUUAUUUCUGUACUUUUACUAGGAAACAACUGAAGACUGAAAGAGGCAAAGGAAAUGGUGAACUGUUCAUUCUCUUAGAGAAUCUGAUCUGAUGAUCUGAUGCAUCUCUUCUUUAGCAUCAGAAGUCUAAGUUUAUGUCCCCUAGUGUUGUAUUCCUUCUGGCUUUGAGAGCAAAGAGAUUCUUUGAAUUGCUUUUCGAGAACAGCACUCCCUCUAUUUAACAAACUCUACAGCACCACUCCAUUUAACAAAAUGAGCUAGAAAGACAAUGCUUUUUUGCUCCUGCUGGAAGGAUUUCAUUGUCCUUUUCCUCCAGAUUGUGAGCAUCUCUUGAAGAUCACAGAGUGCCCCUCGUCGCUGUCCCCACUGCUAGAGGAACAUACCAGAAACAGAAAUGAACUCUGAGAUUGACAACAGUGCCUGGAGACAGAUUUCUGGGAACAGGGAAUAGAGGUGGUGCACAUCCCUCAACCAUAAAGUUUCUAACACAAAGUCCAGGUGAUUAUUAUAACAUGACCAAGCUGCCAGCUUUUCAGUAGCCUUUACUCCCUGCACUCAACUCUGCAGUGCCUUCGCAAUUCCCAUUUCAGAGGCUGCACUAUAGGCCUUUCUGCAUGCCUCUGCUUAGCAGAGGGAGACCAUACAGCCAUGUGGAGACCCUGGCUUUCUACCUCACUGAGUCUUGUGUCAUAGCCUCAUCAUCUCAUCCUCUGCAAAUCCAAGCACUCAGCAAAAUGCUAGGAAUAUACAGUAUACAAUUGCAGUGCAUAACAUAAUCUUUCAUCUCCUCUACUGAAAAACAGGCUGGUGCCAGGAAUGUAGCAAAUACAAAAUCAGGUUGUAUAGCUGCUGUAGCUCAGCUGAUCAAUGUAACUUGCAAGGCAAAGAUGAUGCUGCACAAUUACAUCUCCAGAGGAUAAUGUACAGCCCUGUUCCAAAUGGGUGUUAAGUUUACAGAUGUUAAGACCUAGAAAUAUCUCCCAGCUUGCUCAGUUUCUCCUCCAACAGUCUGUUUCCCAAUGUAUAAUGAAGCACACCACCAGAAAUCUUUUGCUUAGAACAAUAGCAUAAAAACCUAAAAGCUUGUAGAUCUCAACACAGUACACAUGUGAACAUAGUCUUAGGCAGUUCAAAUGAACAACGUUGGGUUUCAUGUCCUUUUUGUACCUCCUGACAGAAGUGUUUGGGAGAAGGGGCAAGCAGUGAAGCGUGCACUUGUGGCACAUCAGCUUCUCUUGUGGUAGGGAUUCUUUGACUGUAGGGAUGAGGAUUCCCCACUGAGUUGUGUAUACACUCCAGACUUGCUCUGAGCAAUGCCAGGGCAUCUGAAAUGGGCCUUCACUGGCCAAACUUUGCUGAAAUGGUACUGUUGUGAUGGUGACAGUCAUUCCUCUCUGAGCCCAGUACCUGCUUUCAGUUCAGCUGGCCUAGCUGCUUGUAGGACUAUGAUAAGAACCAGACUGGUGUCUGGUGUCCUGGUCCAGCCUACUAAUCGUGAGACUGGGAACAAAUCUGCCUCCAUGCCUGGAAUAGGAUUGUAUAGCUUAAAAGCAGAACAGGAGGAUCAAAGUGCUGCAGGGUAACUAGCUAAGACACUGAAUCAGCAGCUCCCUUCCUACAUGCAUUGCAGGCUUGCCACGUUAAUAUGGACAAACUACAUGCCUUUGUGCAUUUUUGUUGUGUGUGUGCUGUUCCACAGACUCCUUAUGUUUAGGUUAAGUGCAUUGUAGGUGGACGGUACACAGCACAAGAGUGCUGCUGUCGCUAUGAGAGGCUUACAGCAGUGUGUGAACUUCAGCCUCUGAGCCGAGUGAUUUCUUAAUGCCCCUUUUGUCAUUAUUAUGAACUGUAGUAGCAGUUCACAGUGAUGUCACUGUGGUGCCAACAGUAAACUGAGGCAUUACAAGAACAAGUGACUUCUUCAGGCUGGGUCUGCGAAUAAGUGAAUAACAUCCUUUUUCUCCCAGGCUCCUUUCUUGAAGUGCUGGAUUGCAGCUCUCCUGGGGAUUCUGUGUAAUUCUGUAAAUCAAGAACUGUCCCUUGAAAGGCGUCUAAGUUUGGCGCUUCCUCAAAGCAACGUGAAUCUGUCAAUUCCAACACAUAUUUGGGUUAUGUAUGUGAAGGUUAAAGAUUUGCAAAACUGAAUGAUUAAUGAAGCUUGGAAACCAAGGCUACCCAGUGAAAAUGGAUGAGGAGCAGCAAAGGCAGUUUUGCGUACGGCUCCCAUGAGACAGUAGCUCCCCUCCUUGUAAUGACAUCUUUGUGGCUGAAAUUAGUGUUACCUCUGUUGGUGCGUGGUGCAGGCACCCUCCAUGCUCUAUACUGGGUUGCAGAACUCCUUUUUUUGGACGCUGCCUUUUGUUUUUGUACCUGGGAGAAGAGUGGAACAUCUCUACCUCCAGUAGAGAAGGUAGCUCUGCCUUCUCAGAAGCUCAGCAUGGCAAACUGUUUUUGUGUGAAGUUAUCCUUUGUUUCCCCUGGUACACCACCAAAUAAUGGUGACAUGCACCCCUCCAGUCUGGCUAGAUUUUAAUAUAAUAAAGACCUAAAUGACAAGCUGAAAUGCUUUGUCUUUUCAUUGACAUAAAACGCAGCCAUAUCUGGUCUGAAUUCACUUUCUUUUAUGCCCUUUUACUCUGGUUAUGUUAUCCACCUCACUAGAGACUUGCCCAUUUUGCCAGCAGGGCAGAAUUCCUGUAACAUACUGCUGGUUUUAGGCUGAAACUAGAGUGUUUGAAUUUCCCAUAAAGUUAGCAGGCGGGCAGAUCUGUAUUCUGCAUCAAAGAAAUGUCUUUUAUGUUCCAUCUAUGGCUUUAUUUACUUGCCCUACGAUUUGUGUUAUUUCCCGAGUACCUGAUAGACUAUAGCUUUUAGAGAUACACGUAGAUCAAUCAUGCUCUUUUCUUACAAUUCUUCUGAAAAUCCCUUCAGUUCCUCAGGUCAAAUUCCCUGCUGUGUUUAUAGACAGAUUUAGGAAAGCAUUUUAAUUGUUCCUUUGCCUAUUGGCUUAAUAUAGGGCUUAGUUAUAUGUAAAUUCUAACUAUAAUAGAGUUCUUAGAAUAGCUGAUGCUACUACAACAUUCCUAGCAUCCCAUUUACCCAGUCAGUGCUUUCUUCUUCCAAGGGCACCCAGUCUAGGAGUAAUCAGACUCUUUUCACUGUGGUGUGUAUGGAACUGCUGGGUCAUGGCCUGAACCUCUGAUUGAUCACCUGAGGUGAGCACUGAGCCAGCCA